AUAUAAUGGAACCAGGAUUCAAACACAAAUGAGCUCCAGAGUCCACCGACAAUAUUGAACUUUAUCUGAGCCCUGUGCUCCCAGGAAGCAGCCACAGUUGAGAAACCUCCCUAACGUUUUGGGUUCCAGCUAACAAAGGACCACCCUGCCUAUCAGAGAUGCAACCAAUUCAUGAACUGGAAAGAAAGAAUACUGAUCUCCAAAGAGAACUGGAAAAAUAAGUUGAAGAAAAUGAGACUUUGCAGAAAGAAGUUAAUUUGCUCUCAGAAUUGAAAUCUUUAUCCCCUAAAGUAGAAAUGCUGAAGAAAGAAGUAAACACACUUUUAAGCACUUAACCUUUGUUUUGAAAUAAAAAGCAUUGUAAUAGUA